AAAAAACGAUCACGCAUUUUAGCAUCAGUAAAAUCAGAAACAAAUAGAAAAAGGAAAAAAAAAGAAAAGAGUAAAGAGAGAGGACACGGAUUGCUCGCCUUAUUUAUGAGACAAUAGAAAAUCCACCACCUAAGUUUCAACCGCAAAGCCCUUGUGUUUUAGCCUUUCUUUUCUUCAUGACUCAACUACGCAUGGCUGCUGCUUUGCUUGCGUUUGUGGCUGCCGUCGCUCUAGCCGGCGCCGGUGUCUCCGCCGAGACGCACCACGUCGUCGGCGGCUGGGGACCUGAUUUCAACGCCACCGCUUGGUUGGUCGGCCGCUUCUUCACCGUUGGUGACAAAUUACGGUUCGAGUACGGUGGAGGCGGCGACGAGACGAUGGUGGAGGUGCGCGGCGCAGAGUUCGAGACCUGCAACGUGACGAACCCGAUCCGAUACUGACGGAUCCCGUGAGCCACGUGGCACUCGAGGAGGAAGGCGUCCGCUACUUCACCAGCGCAGACCCCGAGAACUGCCGCAAGGGCCUCAAGCUUCCUGUCACCAUCAACCGCGCCCACGAACACGAACACGACCCCUCUCCUCCCUACGACCCGUGGAAGCCCGAUGAGCCUGAUGUGCCGUCCCCUCCCUACGAGCCGUGGGAGCCUGAUGUGCCGUCUCCUCCGCACAAGGUCCCGCCUCCUCCCACGCCCACGCCCUCGCCCUCGCCUGCCGCCGCCCUUCUCGACGCCGGCUUGUGUUUGUGCUUGGCUGCUGCCUUCUGGAUUUUUAUCUAGAGGAGUAUAACUGUUUUUAGCUGUUAUUGUUAUUUGCUAAAUUAGUGGGAUAAUUGAUGAUAUUAUCGUCAUAUUAAUUAGUAGGAAGGUGGGUUGUGUGUGAAGCUCUACCAGUUGCUAUGAUUUAGGACUCAUGUACUAUCUUAAUCAACACCGUUUGCAUUUUGAGUUA